UGCCUAUAAUGCAAGUCGAACGAACUCUGGUAAUGAUUGGUGCUUGCAUCAUGAAUUAAAUUUGAGUGAGUGGCGAACUGGUGAGUAACACGUGGGAAACCUGCCCAGAAGCGGGGGAUAACACCUGGAAACAGAUGCUAAUACCGCAUAACAACUUGGACCGCAUGGUCCGAGUUUGAAAGAUGGCUUCGGCUAUCACUUUUGGAUGGUCCCGCGGCGUAUUAGCUAGAUGGUGAGGUAACGGCUCACCAUGGCAAUGAUACGUAGCCGACCUGAGAGGGUAAUCGGCCACAUUGGGACUGAGACACGGCCCAAACUCCUACGGGAGGCAGCAGUAGGGAAUCUUCCACAAUGGACGAAAGUCUGAUGGAGCAACGCCGCGUGAGUGAAGAAGGGUUUCGGCUCGUAAAACUCUGUUGUUAAAGAAGAACAUAUCUGAGAGUAACUGUUCAGGUAUUGACGGUAUUUAACCAGAAAGCCACGGCUAACUACGUGCCAGCAGCCGCGGUAAUACGUAGGUGGCAAGCGUUGUCCGGAUUUAUUGGGCGUAAAGCGAGCGCAGGCGGUUUUUUAAGUCUGAUGUGAAAGCCUUCGGCUCAACCGAAGAAGUGCAUCGGAAACUGGGAAACUUGAGUGCAGAAGAGGACAGUGGAACUCCAUGUGUAGCGGUGAAAUGCGUAGAUAUAUGGAAGAACACCAGUGGCGAAGCGGCUGUCUGGUCUGUAACUGACGCUGAGCUCGAAAGUAUGGGUAGCAAACAGAUUAGAUACUCUGGUAGUCCAUACCGUAACGAUGAUGCUAGUGUUGGAGGGUUUCCGCCCUUCAGUGCUGCAGCUACGCAUUAAGCAUUCG
rnacentral:rRNA from 2 species